rnacentral:lncRNA from 12 species
AUCCUUAUAUGUGAUUCUACUUUAUCUCCAUCAAAUUCUUAGUGGGUACAUGGAGCAAGGGACAAUUAUCUCCAUUUAACAUGUUUGAAAACUGAGACAGAAAGAGGCAAAAUCAUUUUACUAUUGGCUUUAGUUGACCAGAGACAGAAACAACAGGAAUCAGGUCCCCUGAUGCCCACUCCCGGUAUCAAGGUCAACAUAUAGAAUAUAUAGAAAUAAAAGUCUGGGACAAAGAGGAGGACACUGCUUAUCAGUUCCUGGCUUAUAUUAGCCAAAAGGUGUGUGUUUUCAUGACAAUCGGAAUGUGGGUAGCAGUGGAAAGCCCAUGCAAUGUGGGCAUGGUAUUGAUCUAUUGUUGAGGGGCAGAUCUGGAAUUCACUUUAAAUACUAGAGAAAAGGCAAGUGAGACUAGCCAGUCCUGGAGGUAAGUGAAACAUUGCCCUGAACCCCCUGCUGGCCCCAGGGCAUAGCUGAAUGUGCUGGCCAGGCUACGAGAACCAUCAGAUAGCUCCAAGUCUGUAGAACAAGAUAGCACGUCUGGGCACAGGCUGGCUGGCUGGCAUGGGCCCCUCCUUGCCGACGUGUUCUCCACUGGGUGCUUGAGAUUAGGCAGUGUGUUCUAGCAUUAGAGAGGCCACAUGAAGGCGAGGACGUGGGCACUUUCUGCAACUGUGCACCUCACCAGGAGCACCUGCUCAGGGGCCUCUGUUCAAAUAUUGAUGACCAGGAGCUUCAUCACAAUGGUAUACAGCCAGUGCCUCUCUGCUCCACCCUCUCCGUGAAACGGGAGUCCCCACUGAAAUGCAGGCCACUAGGGAGACAGCAGUUUCUAAGAGGUGGCCCUCUGAGAGCUCAGCUUGCAAGAUCAUCGACAGCCAUGAGAAAGGAGAACAGGGAUGGUGUAGGAAAAGAAUCGCAUACUUGAAGAACACCAUCUGAAUGGCGAGGUGUGUACAAUGUGUAUGUCUGAUAUCUCCCUACAACCUUAGGAGGGCAAUAUCUGAAUCCCCAUUAUAUAGAUGCAUAUACCGAGGCUCUUACACAUUAGAUGAUCCACUCAAGGUCGCUCAGAGAAUGGAUACUGGCCUGCUCAACCCCUAAGACCUACCUCCAAGUGCCCAAAUCUGUGAGCCGUGUUUAUGACAGCUAACAAUUUGUCAACUCAACAAUUUGUCAAGGACUCUUUGUCCUUCAGCAAAUGAAAUCCAUAUGCAUAUGUGAGGUGCUUAAAUGUUCACAAGUCUGAUACGCCACCACGUAAAAUGUUUGAUGUGGCAAAACUGCUGAUAAAGGCUGAUCUUUGGGACAAGACCUGAAGAACAGGCAGGCCAUUAUUUUUCUAACUGUUCCUUAACAUUAAUGGACUUUGGUCAAUGUCUCAAUAUAAAGCAUCUGGGAAUUUAAACCAAAAAACUUGCUCUUCAACUCGAUUAUAAGGUGAUCUUAGUUUUAGCAUUCCACUCUGCUCUGUCCUACUACCUUCUUUAUCUAUAAAAUAAGCACGAUAAAUUGCACUAAAGGUGUAAUGAGACCGUAUAUAUUCAUGAAAGCUCUCUUCAAAACUAUUACUCGGGCCGCUCAGAUUUUGCCUAAGAAAUAGAAGCAAGAUGUAAACUAGACGCACAGUUGAUGAAUUGCCAACGUUCAUUGAUUUCUCUCUGUGUGCUGGCAUUGUGCUUAGCCUUAUGGCCAUCAUUUUUCCUAAUCCUCCCAGCACUACAAAAUGAGGUCUAGUGUUUCCCCAUUUUGCAGAUGAGGAAAACAAGGCACAUAAAAGUAAGAAACCUUUCAAGAAAGUGAUGGAGUCAUGUGAGAUUCCAUUGCCAUCUUGGUAUGUUGGCCAUCUUGUAUCUUCAGUACCUCAUAUCACCCAUAUCCAAACAUGUCCACAGCAAGUCCUUGAAAACUGCUAGACAAUGGGAACUUGGAUUGGAUCCCAGAACAGAUAAGGACAUUAUAAUGGAAAAAUAGGUGGAAUCCAAAUAGUCUAUAGGUAGGUUAAUAGCAUUGCACCAACUUGAAUUUCCUGGUUUUGAUCAACAACCAUAGUUAUGUAAGAGAACCUCGAGGAAGCUGGGUGAAGGUUAUAUGGGGACUCUGUACUACAUCUUUGCCACUCUUCUAUAAAUCUAAAAUCAUUUCAAAAUAAAAAGUUAAAAAGUUUUAAAAAUCA